rnacentral:lncRNA from 1 species
GUUGUAGUUAUUUUAUGAAGAAUCUGUAUUAUGAUUCUACCAUCGGCUGUAGUGUAAUGAAAUUUUCCACUGUGAUAUAUUAAGUGUUGUGGAUAUAGCAGCUGAAAUAGCACACCACUUCAAGGCAAUAUUUCCAGCAACUAAAACCACAGAGAAAAUUAUUCCGUGACUUCGACAUUUCGAGAAAGCGAUGUCCUGUUAACGUUAUAUCUGGUACGAACACAUAUGAAGUAGUAAGUUCAACAAUCAUGACUACAUAUCCACGAAUCUUCUUUGCUUUAUAAAAGACUGUUACAUGUAA